rnacentral:rRNA from 1 species
CCAUGCCGCGUGUGUGAAGAAGGCCUUCGGGUUGUAAAGCACUUUCAGUUGUGAGGAAGGUGGUGUUGUUAAUAGCAGCAUCAUUUGACGUUAGCAACAGAAGAAGCACCGGCUAACUCCGUGCCAGCAGCCGCGGUAAUACGGAGGGUGCGAGCGUUAAUCGGAAUUACUGGGCGUAAAGCGCAUGCAGGUGGUUUGUUAAGUCAGAUGUGAAAGCCCCGGGCUCAACCUGGGAAUUGCAUUUGAAACUGGCAAACUAGAGUACUGUAGAGGGGGGUAGAAUUUCAGGUGUAGCGGUGAAAUGCGUAGAGAUCUGAAGGAAUACCGGUGGCGAAGGCGGCCCCCUGGACAGAUACUGACACUCAGAUGCGAAAGCGUGGGGAGCAAACAGGAUUAGAUACCCC